GCACAUUUUAUACGAGUCUCUGGGGACGAAGACAUGUACAGAAUCGUGAAACCCGACUAAACUGAGCCGCUAAGCGUUAAUCUAGAAGAUAGUUUUAUGGCGUGCGGCACGAUGCACUUUUACAAACUGCAUAUCACACUUUCACACCUGCAUGACCCACCCGUCCGAGAUACGGUCGUUCGUACGAGAGUGAAAUUUCAAACUACACAGACGGAAAAUCUUCUCCUCGUACCGACCACGCCUUCUUUCGUUCUAAAAAGGUAUUCUACUACUCGAGAAAUCCAACCUGCCCAUCGAUAAUUGAACCUCAUUUGAUUUCAUUCAUUUUAUCGUCCUCCGAUCUCUCCAUUCACGCGAUCGUCGCGUAGCCACUCGAUUCUUCGACGGUCGCCUGUAGCUCCUGCGAGGAGCUAUAUCGAAGCCAUCGGUGAAACAAAAAAAAGAGAAAAAAAGAUAAAUAUCUAAUUAUACAUGAGCCGAGUAAUUAGGGGCAGAUGGUAGAAGUAGAAUAAUUGUAAGUCUGUGUCAAGACUCGGAACAUUUACUUGGAUGUAUAAAAGUAUAGUUUCACGGACCGCACGCAAUCUCUUCUGCUUCGGAUGUAAUUUACUCUCGAUUUCAGAUGCACCUUCUCACGCUUUGCGGCGUUCCCUCGUUAAUUAUAGUACAAGGUAGCGCAAUUAAUAGAUAUAUCUUGCCUCGUUAUCUCCGGUAUACCGACCAUAUAUAGCAGCUUCCCCGUACCUGUGUUAAAUUCGUCAAAAAGCCACGGUCUCCGAUGGCCAUUGAUACCUGCAGCUACCUACAAAUUUGUUGCCUAUCUUAUUUAUCGCAUAUUAAUUAAUUUCAUUCUUUUUCGACGAUCGAUUGAUUGUUUUAUCGCGGACGGACGGUGCACGCAUAAAAAUCGCAAAGAUAAUUUGACAACUCUCGAUAAAACGAAGCCAACACGUACGGCGAGAGAUAUCGAAGGAUUUUAAUUAACGAUAGUUUCGUUUCGUGUAUUUAUAUUCAGAUAUCGGUUACACCCAUGGGAAUUCCAGAUAACGUCGAGUAAAAUAAAUCAUCUAUUGUUUCUCCAAAGUUUCAUAAAUGCUGAUUAACAAACAAAGGCCUUGUAUUACUAUUGUCUAUCCCCAUGGCGAUUUCGCCGCCAAUAUUCGGAAACAAUAAACCGAAAUGAGAAAAAAAUAAAAAAAAUAAAAAAAACUUUUAAUUAAAGAUGUGAAUAUCUUUGUGAUGAUGCAUGCGGUAUUUUUAUUUUAUUUUUUUUUGCUUCGCCACGAGUAUAAUAGAGUGAAACAAUUAAAUUUAUAAAUUAUUGCCCGAGAAGAGGAAUAUCUUGAGUAAUUCCAUUUCGGCUUGAUUAUAAUAGUUACGCGAAAAUGAAGGUUACAGGACUAAUUUAUUAAUCAGUAAUUGCCGCAAUUUCUCACUAAAAUUUUUUACACUUUUUUCUACAAUUUUUGUACGUGGGAUCGUUAUUAUAUUCUCCGCACAUGCAAAUUCAUAGCUCAACGGAGCAACGCUUGAAGUGGUUUGAAAACAAUGGAGGAAAUCAUAAUUAACUCUCCAACAGUCUUCAUCACUUCAUCUGUGCGUACAAAUGAAUAAAUUUUACACCCCACAUUCUAAUCUUUCGGUUCGGUACAAGGUUAUCCUCACACCGUGAGCGUGAAUUAUUUUUCUUGUUUAAAUUCGCUUCUUUCGAUGCACACCGUACGGUGUAAAAAUUAAUCAUCUUACCGGAAAAUAAAAUAGAGAAGAAGAAAAAAACCAAACUGAAUCCAAUGGCUUUGUUUUAUUGGCGGUAGAAAUUCUCACGCCCUCACUCUAACCCAGAUGAUCGGUUCGAUUCGUGACUGGGGAUGUCGUUUCCUCCUGACCAUUGGGUCAGCGGAAUAAAAUGUGGAGAUGCUCAGGGAAAUUGGAAUAGCGUAGGUAAAACGCUUCUCAUUUCUUUCGUACUUAUCAUCGGAUAGAGGUAACGAAAAAUCGAAUCGUCCCAAAAAAUGAAGUGUAUAAGUUUUAUCAUUCGUAACUAAAAAUGAACAAUUCAGCGUCAGAUGACUAGAAAUCUUGUGUUAAACUCGGUAAGGCGAGAAAGAUUUUUCACUCUCUUGCGUAGCGUGGAGCACUUUGUGCGGCUCGUUGGUAUUCAUGUUCUUUGUUCCUCCAGGCAUACGCGUUAACGCUAAAUAUGGCGUUCGAUCCGACUACUGGAGAACGGAACAUAGCUUUAUACCUUAACACAAAAGAGCGAAUAUUUCCAAAUGUCUCGGCUCGUGGAACGUAAAGAAUAAGAAUGACAGUCUUAUGUCGUAUGAAAACUAAGUUUCUCAGCUCACAAUGAUGAAAUGUCGUUUUAUCUUAUUUCGUCGGGUCCUUACACCGGUUUACAAUUAGUAGAUAGCUCCGUGCGUAGUCCAAUUAAUUUCACAUAGGCUGUCAGACGGUAACUCGACUUCAGCUAUAAACUUCUCUAGGAAGAACUAGAACUGUGGAAACCUCGACAGAAACUCUUGUACCGACAACCGCCUUUUACCAAUAUGCACUUAUCAAAUGCAAUAUGCAGUUCACCGAAGAACUGUGUAGCUUGUGGGAUGGCUCUGCGAACGGUUUCUUGACUGCAAUCACGACGUAAAAACUGCAAUGUAGUUCAUUGUUUCCAAUUCCAGCCAAUUGUGUUCAGGAAUUUAAUUGACGGUUAUCUAAUUUCAUAUAAUCGCAAUUAUGGACUCUCCUACCCGUACCCCUUUUAGUUUAACUAUGAACUAUGACUAUAAAAUUAUCUAUAAGAAAUUCUCAGGGUAGAAAUUGGCAAUCUCACCGCGCGCGUAACGGGAAUAAAAAAAAAAAAAAAAAAAUUAGACUCAGGGGGUCGGCGAUUCGAAUAAACAACCCUAUAAUUUAUUCCCAAUGUCGUUUGAUCGCUCGAACAAUUUUCUCGGUGUCCUCGGGAUAGUUUAUUUUUUCCUCUGAAAUAAACGAAAGAAAAAAAAAAAAACCACAUCUGCACGCGUCACGAGUGAGUAAUAUAGCCGGAGAAUAUCGUGGAAGGAGAAAUCAUUUCCUUGGCCCGAGGCAUCGAUGCGCGGUGUUGAACGAGGGAAGUGGGUAUGUUUGAGAAGUAGAAGAAGGGGAGGAGAGUCGCAGGAGGGUUCUUACUCUUACUUUCCUGCUAUAACGUCGCAUGCGUUAAUGACUACGUUACGUAACGAGACUCCCGUUCCUCUUGGACAGAACCACGACCGUACGUAAAGUCCGGCGUAGGGUCCGAUAUACGCGCAAACCGCACGGUUACACCACACCGCACAACCAUGGUACCUUUACCAUUCCAAGUGCGAAACCAUCGGCCCGGAGUACUCGAAGAAGUACGAUAACCCGCCGAGUUAAUAGAGGUACGCGUAGUUCGUCGUUACGAACUACGUCCGUCGCAAUAUAUAGAAAAUUAUCAGGUGUAACAGAGCAGAAGAAAUCGUUCGCAAUGAACGCUCUGUGUGUAUGUAUACAUAUAUGCAGCCUUCCCUUGGUCGCACGACGUACGGUUUGCGGUCUGGUGUCCGUUACAAGUCCGGAAAGAUUGAGGUAACUCGCGGAGGGUUUGAAACUGGAUCGGUUAACUCGCUGCGAAAUAUACUUCACGGAUUCUUAGCCGUACAAUUUAUGGCAUAAGGUAACUGGUUGUACAGUACCUUAUAGUUAUAUACGUCGGGUUAAGUAAGUUAUAUUAUACACGUAUAACUCGGAAUGUUAUAUCCCUCGUGCGAUUUCUCAGUUCCGUUUGCCAAUCUGGUGAUCAAACAUGACUUGCAUCAUUCGAUGUCAGCGUCUUCGUGCAUGCUCGGUUGGAUCAUUAUUUUUCCCUUUCGGUUUCAUUUGUAUUAUUUUCUUAUUUUUAUUAGUUGAUUCGAAAUAUUUUCUUGUUUUUUUUUUUUUUUUUCUUCUCAAUUUAUACAUCUCACCCGCACUAAAAUGUCACGGAUGUUUCGGCGAAACGAGUUUACAGUUUUAUUAGCCUGUUUUACAUUCGGGUAUGCAUAUUCGGCGGUAAUACCUAUAAUUCUACUCGAUGUGUUCGAAAAUAUCAAGUGGAAAUUCAUCAGCUUUCUAAAAAUUGAAGAACUGUGGGGAUAGUAGGAUAUAAAUAUACGUGACGAGAAUAAAUGAUUCGUGGUAAUUGGUUUAAAAAAAAAAUAUUUAUUUUUUUCAGUUUCAGUAUAAAAAAUAUUUCACUAUACAAUAAAGCAGAGUGCUGGUUGGAUUGAGGUUUUUGUUCUUUUUCCUUCGUUUGGUACAGAGCAAAUUGCGCGCGUUGCGUUACACUUAAUAAUAAUCCUUAAUUCAUUUUCAUUUUACAAUAACGUUAUCUAAAACGAGAAACAAAAGAGAAAGAAAACAUAACUCGAGGUCUUGCCUGACUUUCGGCAAAAUCUCGAGUUGUCUUACGAAAAAAACGAUAAUUGUAUAAUGUUUCAGAUCGGAGCAUCGAUAUCAACGAUCUAAGAGAGUGGAAAACAAACGAUUCACAUCUGUUACAUGAAUUACACAUGCUCCGAUUAAGCAACAAUAUAAAAUCAGCGUAAAAUGAUUCAAGGACUCGUUAUCUUCGUUCGUUCGUGAGAUACCUCAAAAGUAACGCCGAUAGCUGCUGCGAACGUUUAUAUUUUGUGGUGAAUUAAACGAGAGAGGCUACGUUUAAUGAUGGUAUCCGUAACUGCUUCCGUAACCGCCGUCGCCGUAUCCGUAG